UCCAGCACAACGGCUCCCAGGGACCAGGUCAGGGCAAGGAGGAAGUAGCCCUCGGCCCACAUCUGCUGCGUGGCCUCCUCAGGUGGAUCCUCCUGCUCG
rnacentral:SRP_RNA from 16 species